AGAGUUUGAUCAUGGCUAAGGAUGAACAAGGUAAGUCUGCUUAGGUAUUAGAGUUUGAUCAUGGGCUUCGGUCUUAGGGGAGGACGGGUGAGGAAUGAGUGAUAAUCUAUAUUUGGGUUCGGGACAAGCAUUGGAAACAAUGGCUAAUACUGGAUGUGCUGAGAAGUAAAAGAUUAAUUGUCCAAAGAAGAGGUCGCGUCUGAUUAACUAGUUGGUGGGGUAAGAGCCUACCAAGGCAGCGAUCAGUAGCUGGUCUGAGAGGAUGAUCAGCCACACUGGGACUGAGACACGGCCCAGACUCCUACGGGAGGCAGCAGUGGGGAAUUUUCCGCAAUGGGCGAAAGCCUGACGGAGCAAUACCGCGUGAGGGAGGAAGGCUCUUGGGUUGUAAACCUCUUUUCUGGCGGGGGGAAGUUCUGACGGUACCGAAGGAAUCAGCAUCGGCUAACUCCGUGCCAGCAGCCGCGGUAAUACGGAGGAUGCAAGCGUUAUCCGGAAUAAUUGGGCGUAAAGCGUCCGCAGGUGGCGAUUCAAGUCUGCUGUCAAAUCUCCUGGCUCAACUGGGAACCGGCAGUGGAAACUGAAGAGCUAGAGUGCGGUAGGGGUAGAGGGAAUUCCCGGUGUAGCGGUGAAAUGCGUAGAGAUCGGGAAGAA
rnacentral:rRNA from 1 species